rnacentral:rRNA from 1 species
CCUACGGGUGGCAGCAGUGAGGAAUAUUGGUCAAUGGACGAGAGUCUGAACCAGCCAAGUAGCGUGAAGGAUGACUGCCCUAUGGGUUGUAAACUUCUUUUAUAUGGGAAUAAAAUGUUCCACGUGUGGGAUUUUGUAUGUACCAUAUGAAUAAGGAUCGGCUAACUCCGUGCCAGCAGCCGCGGUAAUACGGAGGAUCCGAGCGUUAUCCGGAUUUAUUGGGUUUAAAGGGUGCGUAGGUGGAUUGUUAAGUCAGUUGUGAAAGUUUGCGGCUCAACCGUAAAAUUGCAGUUAAAACUGUCAGUCUAGAGUACAGUUGAGGUAGGCGGAAUUCGUGGUGUAGCGGUGAAAUGCUUAGAUAUCACGAAGAACUCCGAUUGCGAAGGCAGCUUACUAAACUGCCACUGACAUUGAUGCUCGAAAGUGUGGGUAGCAAACAGGAUUAGAUACCCUAGUAGUC